rnacentral:lncRNA from 1 species
GAAUAACACACAGCUCUCUAUGUGAAUAUAUGGACAUAAAGCAGAUGGCAAGUGGAAGCAUCACUGGGCCCAGAAAUCAAUCCAAAGCUUCUAAGCAUGAGAUGACCCGAGGCAAGCAGCAGAAGGAAAGAGAAAGGCAAGCUCGGAUGUUUUCAGAGAAAGGACUGACUGUCCUUCUCUGGAGUUUGGG